rnacentral:rRNA from 1 species
UACAGAGGGUGCGAGCGUUAAUCGGAAUACUGGGCGUAAAGCGUGCGCAGGCGGUUUUGUAAGUUUGUCGUGAAAUCCCCGGGCUCAACCUGGGAAUGGCGAUGAAGACUGCAAGGCUAGAGUGCGGCAGAGGGGGAUGGAAUUCCGCGUGUAGCAGUGAAAUGCGUAGAUAUGCGGAGGAACACCGAUGGCGAAGGCAAUCCCCUGGGCCUGCACUGACGCUCAUGCACGAAAGCCGUGGGGAGCAAACAGG